GAAUCUACCAGAAUCUCUUUCCUCUCUCUCUCUGGUUCUGUACAAAUUCCUAGAUUUCAUCAAUGGCGGGUGGAAACGUUUCCUUCAAAGUCACUCUGACUUCGGAUCCAGAGCUCCCACUCAAAGUUUUUAGUGUCCCUGAGGCAGCUCCUUUCGCGGCAGUUCUUUGCGGCAGAAGAAUUCAAAGUUCCUCCCCAAACUAGCGCUAUCAUCACCAACGUUGAACAAUUGUGUUGCGGUUACCUGACCUUUCUGUUUGGUUAAAAAUUUUCCUGCUAUGAUGGUUGAGCUUGUGUGUGAUUGGGUUGAAUAAUGGGUUGUGGGUGUUCCCUUCAGCAGACCUCUAUUGUGACUAUUAUCUACCUCCAAAUGAGAGUCUGAUACUCUGAUCAAGCUUAGAUUCUUGAAACAUCAGGUGAAAGUUGCCCUUGAUUCUAUGUUUAAAGAAAAGUGUCCCAGCAGAAAGAUUGAAGAU